CUCGCCCGGAGCCCUGGUGCAUGGGGGCUUCCAGCGACAGGAGCCGGACCCGGGAGGUCCUCGGGAGCCCCAGGAACCAAGGGAGACAGCCGAGUCUAGGUCCUGCUUUGUGUGUGGAUGGGAGGUCUGAACUGGCUGCUUCUGGGGAGCUGGCUUGCAGGAGGCUGAGUGGGAGAGGUGGAGUUCAUAUUCAAUGAUGAUCUGUGAUUCUUAAAGGUCCUUUCUCUGAAAAGGUGAACACUAUAAACAGACUUCUCUAAUCACAUACUGGAAUACUGAAGGAGAUGAUAUUGCUAUUUAUUCCCAUUUUGAAGAGAAAAUCAAAACUCACUGAUACAAUCUAUUAAAGAUAUUCCCCAUAAUGAAUGGAGAUGAGAGAAAAACACCAGUUUUUUAAUUCUCUGUCCAACCUUCUCUUCUACUGACACUUUGCAACAAAAAUCUGCUGUCAGACACUGCCUUUCUUUUUUUUCUCUGGCCAGGAACCAGUUAAUCAAAUUACCAUCUGAAGUUAGACAGUGACUAAGUAGCUGUUGUUAACAUGUUCUGUGGCUGCAGGCAUCAAAUGUAAAGGAAACAUUUUCCAGGACACAGGGAGGCCAGAUGGGAGAGGGAAAAGGCUUCUCCUAGCAACUAACAGAUUUUGUCCGGAGGUUAUUUACUGAGUUUCUCACCCAUGGGCCUGGAUGUGCUGAGCUGUAGGGAAGAAAGAAACGCCUUUUCAAUAGAAAAGCCUUCCUACUGUGGAGCAUAUUGUCUUGAAAAGCCUGAAUCCUAUCUUGAAAGGAAAGAAAAUGGAGGAUUAUACUACCAGCUUCUUUGAAAUAUUUUUAAGCAAAUGGAUCUAGAAGAGGUUUCUAACUUGGGAUCCUGUUUUUAAAAUCUUUGCAUAGUUACAUUUUAAUAUAAUUAGUUUUUUUGGAAUCCUAUGUGUGUGUGUGUAUAUAUAUAUAUUUGCAUUUAAAACUGUUAUUCUGAAAAGAAGUCAAUAGAAUGAACCAAAUUGUCAAAGGGGUCCCUAGCAUUUGAAAGGUUAAUAACCCCUGGGAAAGGCAAUUAAGGACUUGGUGGAAAGGCUUAAAGUAUGGCCCAGCAAUGAUAUGUAUGCUUAUUGCCUGAGUGCCAGCCUAGAUAAAUUUAGAAAGGUCCAUUGCUAAAUUAGCCAUAAGGUUAUGAAAAGAUAAGAGAAGCUAUCUUUCUCAGAUCCUUUGCAGUGGAUGAAAAUAGGGAGAAAGGCAGGAAUGGACAGGUUGUCCACAGUGUGGAACACUACUUACAAUAUCAGUAUUUUAGAUCAUUGGUCUUUUAAGUCUUUAAAAAAAAAAAAAAACCCAAAACUUUGUUACAAGUAAUAGCUUAUAAUAAAAGGAGAUGAGAGCAAGGUGGUAGGGGAGGAUUUAGACAAUGUAAAAACAAAAGAAAUCAAUAAUAUCUAUUAUUUAUAUUUAUUAUUGGCUGAGAAGCUUAGUCUGCCCUGAGGGUCUUCUAUAAAUAGUCAAGCAGUUCAGAAUUUAGGGAUUUUAGAGUACACAAAGUUCCCAAAGGAUUUGACCUUUCAUCUUAGCAAAGUGCCUGGGAUUUACAUACUCUAUAUAACAUUAUAUUCUUAAUUAUGUUGAUUAAAAACAAAAACAAAAAAACCCACAAAGCUACACAAAGUUAAAAAAAAAAGUUUUCUACCAAUGCAGACAAGAUUAGAAGGGAAGCAGAAAACUGGGAACAAUUUUUUACAUCUAAGGGUUCUGAAAAAGGCCUCAUUUCUAAAAUAUAUAGAGAAUUGACUCAAAAUUAUAAGAAUACAAGUCAUUCUCCGAUUGAUAAAUCAUCAAAGGAUAUGAACAGAUAAUUUUUAGAUGAAGAAAUUAAUACCAUUUCUAGUCAUAGGAAAAAAUGCUCUAAAUCACUAUUGAUCAGAGAAAUGCAAAUUAAGACAACUUUGAAGUACCACUACAUACCUCUCAGAUUGGCUAAGAGGACAGCAAAGAAUAAUAAUAAAUGUUGGAGGAGAUAUGGGAAAACUGAAACACCAAUACAUUGUGAACUUAUCCAACCAUUCUGGAGAGCAAUUUGGAACUCUGCCCAAAGGGCUAUCAAAUUGUGCAUAUCCUUUGAUACAGCAGUGUUUCUACUGGGUCUGAAUCUCAAAGAGAUCAUAAAAAAGGGAAAAGGACCCACAUGUUCAAAAAUGUUUGUAGCAGCCCUUUUUGUAAUGGCAAGGAACUGGAAACUUGGUGGAGACUCAUCAGUUGGAUAAUGGCUGAAUAAGUUAUGGUAUAUGAAUGUGAUAGAAUAUUAUUGUUCUAUAAGAAAUGACCAGAGGAUGAUUUCAGAGAGGCCUGGAGAGACUUACAUGAACUGAUGCUAAGUGAAGUGAGUAGAACCCAGGGAAUUUUGUACAAGUAACAAGAUUAUAUGAUGAUCAAUUCUGAUGGAAGUGGCUCUUUUCAACAAUGAGGUGAUUAAGACUAAUUCCAAUAGAUUUGUGAUGAAGAGAGACAUCUGCAUCCAGAGAGAGGACUCUGGGGACUGAAUGUGAAUCACAACAUAGGAUUUUCACAUAUUUUUGUUGUUGCUUGCUUACUUUUUAUUUUAUUUCUCAUUUUUUCCCCUUUUUGAUCUGAUUUUUCUUGUGCAGCAUGAUAGAUGUGGAAAUAUAUAUAUAGAAGAAUUACACAUGUUUAACUGUAUUAGAUUGCUUGCUGCCUAAGAGAGAGGGUUGGGGGAAGGGAGGGAGAAAAAAUUUGGAACACAAGGUUUUGCAAGGAUGUUGAAAACUAUUUUUGUAUGUGUUUUGAAAAUAAAAAAAUAAAAAAUAUUUUUAAGGAAAUAGAAUUGUGCCUGGAUUAACUUCACUUCCAAACCUAUUCCACAUAUAAAGCACAAGCUGCAUAAGAAUCUCCCAGGUUUUUAUCUUCUGAGCUCAGCUGUGAGGCUCUCUGCCUAGUCCUUCCAUUGUGCCUCCUCACCAAUUAGAGGCAGCCAACACAGCCAAUAUGUUGAACAAUAUGCUAAGCCCCAUGAAGGAAAGGAGAACAAAGGAGGAGAGGGUUAUGUGGAAAAUGUAAGCAGUACAGAAGAGUACCCAGAACUUAGUAGAGAGGAAAGUUUCUGUAUACUGGAGGGAAAGGGGUCUGGAAAUCUAGUAGGGCCUAGUCCUUUCUUUUGGAAUUGGUUAUGGGCUAACCUCCCACAAUCAGAGUUACGCUGGUAAAUGCUUAAUGACGUCAGUUCUCAGAAAAAGAAAAUUAAAACAAAAUAAGUAAAAAAAAAAAAAAAAA